rnacentral:rRNA from 1 species
AUGUAAAGUCUGGCCUGCCCAUUGACGUUGAGUUGAAAGGCCGCGGUAUAUUGACCGUGCGAAGGUAGCAUAAUGAUUUGUUCUUUAAAUGAGGACUGGUAUGAAUGGUUGAACAAGAAACUAACUGUCUCUGGUAUAAGGUUUGAAAUUAACUUUUAAGUGAGAAGGCUUAAAUACACCAAGGGGACGAUAAGACCCUAUAAAUCUUUAUAUUUGUCAUAAUGAUAUUAAGUAUUAUAAUUGAAAAUUUAGUUUUAUUGGGAUAGAAUAUUUUGUUGGGGCGACAGGAGUAUAAAAAAGUAACUGCUUUGUAAGAUGAGUUAAUAAUUUUUAAUGUGUGAUAUAGUUGAUCCUUCAGUGAGGAUUUCAGAAUAAGUUACUUUAGGGAUAACAGCGUAAUCUCUCUUGAGAGUCCAUAUCGAAAGGGGGGAUUGCGACCUCGAUGUUGAAUUAAAGGUCCUCCAUGGUGUAGCAGUUGUGGGAGGAGGUCUGUUCGACCUUUAAAUCUUUACAUGAUUUGAGUUCAGACCGGCGUAAGCCAGGUCGGUUUCUAUCUCUUGGUUAUAUUGGAGUUCCUUUAGUACGAAAGGAUUAAGGAGUUAAAAUAUUUUUAGGUAUUUGAAUAAUUACUUUAGCAAAAUAUAUGCGUUAGAUUUAGGAUUUAAAGAUAUAGGAUUAGUACCUAUAGGUAAUAGAUCAGUUAAUUAAAUAAUUAACUGAUCUAUGAUAUUUGUGGUGAUGGUGGUUAAUUAUUUAGUGCUUAUUAUUUGUGUGUUAGUUAGAGUAGCUUUCGUUACUCUUUUAGAGCGUAAAA